rnacentral:rRNA from 1 species
GCUGAACGCUAGCUACAGGCUUAACAUAUGCAAGUUGAGGGAUCGGCGCACGGGUGAGUAACACGUAUCCAACCCGCCCUUUACUCGGGGACAGCCUUGCGAAAGAAAGAUCAAUACCCGAUCUAAAGGAUGGGUAUGUUUUCCAUUAGGUUGUUGGUUAGGUAACGGCUCACCAAGCCUUCGAUGGAUAGGGGUUCGGAGAGGAAGGUCCCCAACAUUGGAACUGAGGCACGAUCCAGACUCCUACAGGAGACAGCAGUGAGGAAUAUGGGGCAAUGGGCGCUAGCCUGAGCCAGCCAAGUAGAGUGAAGGAUGAAGGCUUAUGGGUCGUAAACUUCUUUUAUAAGAAAGUGUGUAUUAUAUGAAUGGGGAUCAGCUAACUCCGUGGCAGCAGCCGCGGUAAUUC